rnacentral:tRNA from 1 species
UCUAACGUGGCAGAUAAGUGCGGUGGAUUUAAGCUCCACAAAUAAAGUAUAAACUUUCAUUAGAA